UUUAUUUUAUUUUAUUAUUUAUUAGUUUUAGAGACAUAAAGGGUAUGGACUCAGAUGAAAGGAGAGGGUAAGGAGGAUCUCAGAGGAGUUGCCGGAAAGAAGCUGUAAUCAGAAUAUACUGUUUAAAAAUGUUUUAAAUAAAAGAAAAAUCAAAUGCAUUCAUAUGAAUACAGACACUUAGCAUUUUAUGUAACUCUGGAGUGGAAACUUGAGGGUUCUUUGGAAGUUCAGUUGGAUGGUGUUUUGCUGGGGCAAGCAUGCGAAGAAACAAUUCCUUAAAGUGGGCGCAGGUGUGAAAGGCUAAAGCCGACUCAUGAAGGAAGGUUUUACUGAAGCAGACACAGGAGAGAGGAUGUUCUGCUAAAGCAAGCACAGGAAAGGUCACACGAUGAAGGACUUUUUGCUAAUGACAUUCGAAUGUUGAUCUGCCUUACAUUGUGUAGUUGAGCUGCGUUUGUCGGGACUCCACAGAGAGAAAAAGCACCAAAAAUCUUGUGGUAUGCUGCAGUUGGUUGCCGACUCUGGCUGAUUGGAUGCACAUGCUGAGGCAAGACCUGUGGUGAGCUUAGCUACUGUGAAGAGUGGAGCUGUAAACAUUUAUAUGCUGUGAUGUGUUGACGUGGAGUUCUUCUGGAAAGCACCCAGGAAAGAUGCCUGCUGUCCACUCUACUUCAUUGCACCGGGGCAGUGUCUCCUGCCCUCUUGAAGAUUUGUCCUUUCCCAGGACUCAGCUAGCUGCCUUGACACGUCUCGAGCUCCAUCUACUGACGAGAUGUGCUGUCUCUGCUACUUCUUCAUCCCUCAUCACAAAAGAAGGAAAAGAAAAACAAAAGAACAAGAACAGGAAUACCACAGAGAGGCCAUGUAUGCGACCUGAUAUUGCUUACCAGGAAAGACAUCACAGGGGUGGCUCUGACUGACUAAGUCAUCCUCAACUCUCUGCUUAAGUCGCUAGGGAAGAUAUUUUGGAGCCAUUCUGAUCGUACACCAUAUGCAAAUGAAGGUUUGUGUGUGAAGCAAUCACAGGAACCCUUUUCCUAAGCCACCAGGGCAGGUGCUCCCCUGUGACCUACAUCGGAAAGCUUGCAGGGUCAUCUAGAGUUCAGGGAGAGUUGUGAUGGUCAAAUAGCUGAUAAAAACUGUUUGAAACAGGCUUGCCUUCAGGAGCUGAAGCAAUCGGCUGUGACUGUAAUGUAGGCUCUGGCAGCGUCAGAACAGCCUGGCUGGCUGUUUGACUGAUCCCGAUUGGCUUCAAGGCAGCCAAGGCGGCAGGGAGAUACGAAGAGCUGUUAAUUAAGGAAGCCAGUUGCUCCAGCCCAUACCAUCCUUACUUAGACAUAGGGAAUACACAUCAGGAGGCCUUAUCACAAAAGUUAAUAGCUGGUCAUUGACACUGGUGGUGAGUUUAACAAUGUUUCAAUGGUGCUCUGCGGCUGCAUAUCACAGAUUCCUUCUUGGUUCAACACCAUGUCCCUAAAACCUUUUCCCACUAAGAUAUUAUUCCAAUUCCUACCUGCCCUUUGCUACCCUUGGUGGACAGAAACCAUAAUUAUGCCUGCUGCCUGGCCUUUUGCAUGGGUAAAACUUCUUUUUAAAAUUAUCAAGCACAUGAAAAAUAUCUCCAGCCUUCGCACUAUAGGGAUUUCAUAAGGUAUCACCUUAUGACCAGAAAAAACUAACACAAAACCCAGCAAUAUUAACUUAGUUUAAUGUUUAUAUACUACCACACAGGUGAGAACAUUCUUGUGCAGCAGUGAGGAUAGCCUUUAAGAAACAAGUGCUCAGCUGGUCAGUGGCGGUUCCCAGCUUUAAUCGUAGUAACUUGGGAGGCAGAAGCAGGUGGAUCUCUAUGAGCCUGAGACCAGCCUGGUCUACAGAGUGAGUUCCAUGAUGACUAGGGCUACACAGAGAAACCUUGUCUGGAAAAACAAACAAACAAACAUGUGUUCAUACCAAAGUAGUGACUACAGAAAAGUCACCUUGAAUGCAUGAAACCAGAUAUGGCAAGAGCAAGCAAGUCCCAAUUCCUCCUACAUAGGAACUCUAACCCAAGUAGACCUUCACGGUUUUGUAUUUUUUUAAAAUGCAAGCUACAUUCUGAAAAAAUAUGUCAUCAAGUGAUGAUUUUUGUAUGACCAUCACAAAAUUAAUCAGCCCAAUUUUACUGAUCUAGAUUGAUGGCUGUACCUGGUCCCUGAUAUGACUCAGAAAUGCAGUAAACACAGGUGUCUGGGGUUAUUCGGUUCUGGAAUAAACCCUCUAACUAGUGAGAGCCUUCUCCAACUAAAGGUAAGACCUUAGAUGAGACUACUGCACUCCUGAUCACUAGCAUGCUGUUACUGGGCAGAGGCCACCAUGCCUGGAGUUUUUCAGGUGCACAGAGUACCAGUGUGCCUCUCAGUGCUCAAAGGUCAACUGUAGCAACCGUAUAAGCUUGGCCUAUGGCCAUUUGUUGCCUUUCUCUAGUUUGUUGCAGUGUACAUAAUUGUAUGUGAUGGACUUUUGCAAGCUAGUAAGUUUGUUUACCUCAGCCUCAGAAAACCCAUGCCACGUUUUGUUUCACUGUUGCAAUAGCUAAGAAGUUACUGGGUGACAAGAACUUCUUCUGAGAGCAACACUUUGUAUGCAGUAAGAAGUGACUGAAACCUCAGAGGAGAUGAUAAAGCUUUCCCCUCCUGCUUUAUCAUUUUUUCAGCUUACUUGUAACUGUAUGUCUGAAUUUACUUUGGGGGUGCCUAGGUUUGGCUAUGUAGACAGUGUGGCCCCAGUGGCUUCUUCCCCAUAGAGAGCUAUUUACUAUGAUAAUGAAGAGACAUUUCAGAUUUCUUUACAACACUCUGGCUAUGGAUACCUUAAGAGUUAGCUGCUCUCCAUAAUGAGACUUUCUGUGACAAGGACAAAGCGUCUGAGGAUAGCAUGCACGGUUCUUCUGCACUCCCUGGGGUAAUUGAUCAAAUCCCUCUGAUAUUUCACAGGAAGACAAGCCCAAAUCUUUUACACCCAUAUUAUUCAAUGCAUUUUGGGCAAAUGUUUCAUUUAGAGCAACUGUACUAAUGUCUAGUUGACUGAUAAAAAGAAUACAAUGUUACUUUGGUUUUGUAGCCUGACCUCUUAACAGAAUGGCCAAUGCAUUGUGCUGGAGUGAGUGUUGCUGAGUUUCAAACUGAAAUAAACCAGAAGAAGCUCUUUACCUUCGGGGCCUCAGAAAAUCCCCAAUUGUAGAUUGGUUUUCUAAGUUGAAUACAUUAUCAGGAACAUUCUAAUGUCUUACUAAUCCCUCUGCUUCCUUUUUCCUUGCCUUUGUACUUGCAAUUUGUAUUCAUUUGUUUCCAAAAUAAGUAAAGAUGUGAUUUAUGAUGUGAAAGAAGAUUCUUAGUGUUUUUAACAGAAAUAUUAGUUCCUGUGUUUACAUGUAAAAUUAGUACAGCAGGGAGGAAGAGACGCCCCCUCCCCAAUGGCAUAGCCUCGUGUUAGUCGCUUAAAUAACCCCCACCAUGCUCGCAUCAGCAACCCUAACUAAACCUGAUCUAUCCCAGAAAGAAAACAAAGAGACAAACAACACCAAAAGGACUUUUGCAAUAAAGAAGCAAAACCUCAUUUUACAGUUGAGUAAUGACUAUCAUAUUUGACCUCUGGGUAGACCUUUUAGAUUCCUGGGGGAAAGUAGGGGUGAUCUGCAGUGAACGAAAAGAUUUCAAAUUCAUCCUCUUGGUGAUAUUUAGCAUUUUUGCUUCGGUUGGGCGACCAUGGGUGUUUAUUGUCAGUGUCUUAUUGUGAUUCUCUCUAAUGGCCAUGUUUACAUUUCCUAACUAAUCCCUUAAUAUGCAAAAUAUCAGAUGUUAAAAAACCAUUUGCUUCUGUAUCAUCCAUUCAGUAUCAUUUCUCACGAUGCUUGCUUACACUGUUUUACCCUUUGAUACUCUGUACCUGCCCACAGUACCUUUUGGUUAUUUUCACACCCCUUUACCCUCUCCACUUCUAUAGAAGUCUUUCUUUUCUCCAACAUGUCUCCAUCCUACUGUAUUGGGCCACUGGACUGUGGUUACACCAUCUUGUAAAAGUAUUCUUAAGAAUACUUUAAGUGCUAAAACUAUCGUGGGUAAACUGGCCUCCAGUCACGUAAGACCAGACAGAAACUCAAUGGCCACAGAGAGCAGCCACAGAUUUCUGUAAAAUCUAUCCCUGACCUCCAGGUUAUGAGAACAGUCUGAGCACUUCACUGCUGUCUCUCUGCAUCUGUAAAUGACACCUGUUUGCCACACAUGUCCAGGGAUGCCUUUCUGUAUACAUCACAACUGUGAUAUUUCUGCCUUUUAAAACCUGAAUAAAUUCGGGGUCAUGGGUGCUUCCUGCCACUCUGCCUAGGACAGCCCGUCUAUCAGUGAAUAAAAGCUCCAUAUAACUUGACUUAUUCAGGUCUCUUGAUGAUUUUUGCUUUCCUCAGAGACCCCCAUAACAUUACCACCAUGAAUCGGGGAUCAGGUUUGCUUUGAAUUGCUUCAAAUGCCACGUGGUAGAUUCUUAGUGAAUUUUAAUCACAUUAAUAUUUUCAUUGCACUUAUUUAUCUCUGCGUGUUUGUCUGUCAGCACAGUGCAUGUUUGUCUGUCACCACAGUGCAUGUUUGUCUGUCACCACAGUGAAUGUUUGUCUGUCACCACAGUGCAUAUGUGGAUUCCAGGGACAGAACUCAGUAGGUCAGGCCUGGCUGGAAGUGUCUUUUGCCCCUGAGCCAUCUCCCUAGUCCAGAAUCACAUUUAAUAGAACAGUCCAACACUCUUAAAAUGUUCUUGCUUACUUAAUUUCAUGUCAGACCAUAAGCACAAAUUAACCUGUCUAUAAUUGCCUGAGCCCGUACCACCUCCAUUAUGACCCUGCUUGUUUAAAAGAGGAGAACUCUUAGACUAUUAUAUCUUCUCUUUCCCAGAUUUCUGUUCUAUUUGUUUUUGAGACAGGGAUUCUUUGUGUAACCCUGGCUGUCCUAGAAUAGCUCCGUGGAUCCCAUUGGCCUGGAACUCGCAGAGGUCUGCAUGGCUGAUGGCUAGGAUUAAAGACUACACCCCUAGCUCCUUCCCAACUUUAAGGAAAAGAGGAAGAAAAGCAGAGCAGCAAUGAUCUGGGUCAUGCUAUCAUCACUAAACACUAAACAUUCACCAGCAACUUCUGUUUCAUGCAGGCGUAUGUAUGUAUGUAUGUAUGUAUGUAUGUAUGUAUGUGUGUAUGCAUGUGUGUAUGUAUAUAUAUUAUGUAUACAUCAUAUUUUAAAGUAUCUUUAAGUAUAACUCAACUGUGGGAUUUAAAUAAAAAUGUUUUAAGCUCUC